CGCUGGCGGCGUGCCUAACACAUGCAAGUCGAACGAAGCUUGACGAACGAUUCUUCGGAUGAAUUCUGAUAUGACUGAGUGGCGGACGGGUGAGUAACGCGUGAGCAACCUGCCCUUCAGAGGGGGAUAGUGUCUGGAAACGGACAGUAAUACCGCAUAAUGUACAUUGAUGGCAUCUUCGAUGUACCAAAGCUUUUGCGCUGAAGGAUGGGCUCGCGUCUGAUUAGAUAGUUGGUGGGGUAACGGCCCACCAAGGCGACGAUCAGUAGGGGUUCUGAGAGGAAGGUCCCCCACAUUGGAACUGAGACACGGUCCAAACUCCUACGGGAGGCAGCAGUGAGGAAUAUUGGUCAAUGGACGAGAGUCUGAACCAGCCAAGUAGCGUGCAGGAUGACGGCCCUAUGGGUUGUAAACUGCUUUUAUAAGGGAAUAAAGUGAGUCUCGUGAGACUUUUUGCAUGUACCUUAUGAAUAAGGACCGGCUAAUUCCGUG
rnacentral:rRNA from 1 species